AUUGAACGCUGGCGGCAUGCUUUACACAUGCAAGUCGAACGGUAACAGGCCUUCGGGUGCUGACGAGUGGCGAACGGGUGCGUAAUGCAUCUGAACGUACCCAGAGGUGGGGGAUAACGCAGCGAAAGCUGUUCUAAUACCGCCUGUGAUCUGAGGAUGAAAGCGGGGGACCGAGCAGCAAUGUUUGACCUCGCGCCUUUGGAGCGGCCGAUGUCGGAUUAGCUCGUUGGUGGGGUAAAGGCCUACCAAGGCGACGAUCCGUAGCUGGUCUGAGAGGACGAUCAGCCACACUGGGACUGAGACACGGCCCAGAAUCCUACGGGAGGAAGCAGUGGGGAAUUUUGGAGAAUGGGCGCAAGCCUGAUGCAGCAAUGCCGCGGGGUGGAAGAAGGCCUUCGGGGUGUAAACCGCUUUUGGCAGGAACGAAACGGUGUCGGCUAAUACCGGGCGGUAAUGACGGUACCUGCAUAAUAAGCACCGGCUAACUACGUG
rnacentral:rRNA from 1 species